UUGAUCCUGGCUCAGGAUGAACGCUGGCGGUCUGCUUAACACAUGCAAGUCGAACGCUACCUUCGGGUUGAGUGGCGGACGGGUAACGUACGCGUGAUAAUCUGCCUUGGGGUCGGGGACCAGCACUGGAAACGGUGGCUAGUACCGCGAUAGGCCUUUGCUGUAAAAGAUUUAUUGCCCCAAGAGGAGCUCGCGUCUGAUUAGCUAAUGGGUGAGGUAGACGCUCAUCACGGCAGCGAUCAGUAGCUGGUCUGAGACGACGAUCAGUCACUCUGUGACUGAUACUCGGCCCAGAUCCUACGGGAGGCACUGAUGGGGAAUUUACCGUAAUGGGCGAAAGCCUGACGGAGCAUGACCGUGUGAGGGAGGAAGGCUCUUGGGUUGUAAACCUCUUUACUCAGGGAAGAAGCUCUGACGGUACCUGAUGAAUCAGCCUCGGCUAUCUCCGUGCCUGUAGCCGUGGUCAUACGAAGGAGGCAUGCGUAAUCCGGAAUUAUUGGGCGUAAAGCGUCCGCAUGUGGCGAGAUCGAGUCUGCUGUCGAAACACGGGGCUUAACUCCGUUAAUGCAGUGGAAACUGAAUAGC
rnacentral:rRNA from 1 species